AGCACGGGGACUGUGGUUAUUCGAACACGCGCAGAACCUUACCAGCCCUUGACAUCCCGGUCGCGGACAGGAGAGAUCCUGUCCUUCAGUUCGGCUGGACCGGUGACAGGUGCUGCAUGGCUGUCGUCAGCUCGUGUCGUGAGAUGUUGGGUUAAGUCCCGCAACGAGCGCAACCCUCGCCCUUAGUUGCCAGCAUUUGGUUGGGCACUCUAAGGGGACUGCCGGUGAUAAGCCGAGAGGAAGGUGGGGAUGACGUCAAGUCCUCAUGGCCCUUACGGGCUGGGCUACACACGUGCUACAAUGGUGGUGACAGUGGGCAGCGAGACCGCGAGGUCGAGCUAAUCUCCAAAAACCAUCUCAGUUCGGAUUGCACUCUGCAACUCGGGUGCAUGAAGUUGGAAUCGCUAGUAAUCGUGGAUCAGCAUGCCACGGUGAAUACGUUCCCGGGCCUUGUACACACCGCCCGUAA
rnacentral:rRNA from 1 species